UCACAGUUCCAACUGGGCAGGACUGGAGCCU
rnacentral:piRNA from 1 species